GAUGAAGAACGCAGCGAAAUGCGAUACGUAAUGUGAAUUGCAGAAUUCAGUGAAUCAUCGAGUCUUUGAACGCACAUUGCGCCCCCUGGUAUUCCGGGGGGCAUGCCUGUCCGAGCGUCAUUGCUGCCCUCAAGCACGGCUUGUGUGUUGGGCCUCCGUCCUCCUCCCGGGGGACGGGCCCGAAAGGCAGCGGCGGCACCGCGUCCGGUCCUCGAGCGUAUGGGGCUUCGUCACCCGCUCUUGUAGGCCCGGUCGGCGCUUGCCGACACAUCAAUCUUUUUUCCAGGUUGACCUCGGAUCAGGUAGGGAUACCCGCUGAACUUAAGCAUAUCAUAAGCGGAGGA
rnacentral:misc_RNA from 1 species